CAAGAGAGUGUGAGUUUAAAAGAGGGUAAAAAGCAAAAUUGAGUGAAACACGAGUGCCCAUACUACGAGAGUAAACACGUGAGGAAGUGAUUUGAGGGAUUGCAAUCUAUUUUGUUUGUCAUUAAAAUUUCAUAUUUGAACAUGGAGCCACAAGGGAGUGAAAGAAAAUAAAAAGAUCAAGAAUUCAUCGUCAAAGCAAUGCAACAACAAUUUGAGAGGAUUCAACUAGCUAUUGGCAACAUGAAUGAGAAACUAGAGAAACAACAAAGUGAGUUAAAUUCCUUGAGAGGGGAAGCUUCCCAAACCAAUCCAAGGGCAAGAAGACUUCCAACACCACCUUGUGAUGAGUAAGUGGAGGAAGAAUUUUAAUGACCGAGCUACUUUGGUCAAUAAAGGUCGAAAUUAUGGUAAGGGUUGAAACGAUCUUGAUAAAAACAUUGGGAGCAUCAAAAUAAAAAUCCCAUCGUUUCUAGGCAAUAAUGAUCCGAAUGCUUAUCUUGAAUGGGAGCACAAGGUGGAGCUUAUUUUUGAGUGCCACAAUUAUUUGAAGGAGAAAAAGAUAAAGGUUGCGGCCGUGGAGUUUGGAGAAUAUGCCAUUGUGUGGUGGGAUCAUCUCAUCACAAGUAAAAGGAGAAAUGCAGAGAGACCUAUUUCCACUUGGGCAGAAAUGAAGGCUAUCAUGAGAAGGCGCUUUGUUCCUACUCACUACUAUAGGGACUUACAUCAAAGAUUGCAAGACUUAUACAAGGGAACAAGAGUGUAGAAAACUACUACAAAGAGAUGGAGGUAGCCAUGAUAAGGGCCAAUAUUGAGGAGGAUAGGGACGCUACUACGGCAAGGUUCUUAAAUGGCCUUAACAAAGACAUAGCCAACAUUUUAUAGCUUCAACAUUAUGUGGAGAUUGAUGAUAUGGUGCACAUGGCUAUAAAGAUUGAAAGAAAAUUAAAGCGAAAGGGGAACGUUCACAAGGCAAACCAACACUUACUCGGCCCAAAAUUCCAAUUGGAGGUCGAACUGUAGGGGAGAUAACAAGGCUGUCCAAUUCAAAAUAGAUGACAAAAUCAAGCCAAAAGAUGCUAAUGAUAAUAAAAACAAAGUAUUUUUAACUCCCAAACUCCUAAGAAUAGAGAUAUCAAGUGUUUCAGAUGCUUGGGUUUUGUCAUAUUUUUGAGUGCCACAACUAUUCGGAGAAGAAAAAGAUAAAGCUUACGACCGUGGAGUUUGGAGAGUAUGCCAUUGUGUGGUGGGAUCAACUCAUCACAAGUAAAAGGAGAAAUGGAGAGAGAUCUAUUUCCACUUGGGCCGAAAUGAAGGCUAUCAUGAGAAGGCGCUCUUUUCCUAUUCACUACUAUAGGUACUUACACCAGAAAUUGUAAGGCCUUAUACAAGGGAACAAGAGUGUAGAAGACUACUACAAAGAGAUGGAGAUAGUCAUGAUGAGGGCUAAUAUUGAAGAGGAUAGGGAAGCUACUAUGGCUUAGAUGUAUUUGAGUGUUUUUGGCCUUGUUUGCAUCACACCUGCUGUUAUUUCUCUUUUAUUUAUCUCAUAUAACAUUCAAGUACAUUUAAAAUUUAAAAGAGAAACUCGUUUCAAGGCUAUUUGUUUGGUUGAGAUUGUUUGUGUAAUUUUUGAGGCUGUUUGGAAACAACUCACCUCCAUUGAGUUUGUUUUCAUCCAAAACUAUUUGUUUCACUUAAUUUGAGUGUUUUGGGUGAUAAUCUAUGGUUCUAUUAGAGAAUUACAAGUUUCGUGCAUUAAAUUCCAUAUUCACUAUUUUUUUUCUUGCCUCUUUUGUUUUCAUUUAAUAUUUCUGUGCACUUGCUUCUUAUUACAUCUUGAGGUAAUAAUGUUGUUUUGUUGUUGCCUAAUUAACAUAAAAAUCAUCAUACACUUAUUUCUACAUCAAGUGUGAGCUCUUCAUUGUUUAAAAUGUUCUAGUUUGCUUAUGGAGUUGAAUUCGUGUAUCUUGUUUCUUUAGGAGUUCUUUGUUAUCUCUAAUUAAAAUUGAGUACAUAGUGAUAAUUAAUUUUUGUUUGAAUUGACUCUUUUGUAUAGAGUUAUAAAAUAUUGCUUGAGUGGUAAAAAGCAAGAAAGUGUGAGCUCAAAAGAGGGUAAAAGCCAAAAUUGAGUGAAACACGAGUGCCCAUACUACGAGAGUGUACACGUGAGGGAGUGAUUUGUGAGGUUGCAAUCUAUUUUGUUUGUCAUUAAAAUUUCAUAUUUGAACAUGGAGCCACAAGGGAGUGAAAGAACAUCAAAUUAUCAAGAAUUCAUCCUCAAAGCAAUGCAACAACAAUUUGAGAGGAUUCAACUAGCUAUUAGCAACAUGAAUGAGAAACUAGAGAAACAAUAACGUGAGUUAAAUUCCAUGAGAGGGAAAGCUUCCCAAACCAAUCCAGGGGUAAGAAGACUUCCAACACCACAUUUUGAUGAGGAAGUGGAGGACGAAUUUGUUGACCAGGCUACUUUGGUCAAUGAAGAUCGAGAAUAUGGUAGGGGUCGAAAUGAUCCUGAUAAAAAAAUUGGUAGCAUCAAAAUGAAAAUCCCAUCGUUUCUAGGAAAGAAUGAUCCGAAUGCUUAUCUUGUAUUGAAGCGCAAGGCGGAGCUUAUUUUUCAGUGCCACAAUUAUUUAGAGGAGAAAAAGAUAAAGCUUACGGCUGUGGAGUUUGGAGAGUAUGCCAUUGUGUGGUGGGAUCAAUUCAUCAAAAAGUAAAAGGAGAAAUGAAGAGAGACCUAUUUCCACUUGGGCC
rnacentral:lncRNA from 1 species